AGUGAACGCUGGCGGCGUGCCUAAUACAUGCAAGUCGAACGGAGUGGCGCACGGGUGAGUAAUGUAUAGCUAAUCUGCCCUACACUAGAGGACAACAGUUGGAAACGACUGCUAAUACUCUAUAGUGUAGGAUGAGGCUAUAUUGUAUCAGCUCGUUGGUGAGGUAAUGGCUCACUAAGGCUAUGACGCAUAACUGGUCUGAGAGGAUGAGCAGUCACCCUGGAACUGAGACACGGUCCAGACUCCUACGGGCGGCAGCAGUAGGGAAGAUUGCUCAAUGGGGGAAACGCUGAAGCAGCAACGCCGCGUGGAGGAUGACACUUUUCGGAGCGUAAACUCCUUUUGUUAUGGAAGCGGUACCUAACGAAUAAGCACCGACUAACUCCGUGCCAGCAGCCGCGGUAAUAC
rnacentral:rRNA from 1 species